CGAGAAUGAGGAGUGACUGGGACCCUGACACGGGGUGGAGGAUGUGGAUCCAGCAGGCACGGGGACAAACUGGGAAAGAGUUUUGCCUAGGACGGCCAAGCUGAUGGACCAUGGAGACAUUCAGGAAUGUGUUUUCCAAACCAUGUUUUACAAAAGCGUUUUGGAAGAAAUGAAAGCAACUGUUAUUACUGAAGUUAAGAUAAUUGUAUAGAUGCUGAGCAAGAUAAUUUCAAGGCACUAAACACAGAGUUCAGAGUCCAUUGGAAAGGUGGUCGAGC
ensembl:lncRNA